AAAAAUAUGAAUAAAAGAAAAGAAACAAAUAGAGUAGCGGGGAAAGAAAAAGGAAAGAGAAACAAAAUUAAAGCUUCAUCUCUUUUGCAUGCCGAUUGGGAGAAGAAAAAGAAUAGAUCGAGCAUCAACCGUGGCAAGGAAAAGAUUACUAAGAAGACGUCUUCAAUUCGUAGCAUCUGUCGUAUUUUGCGCUAGGUGCAAACUAUUCCACGAUUUAUCCGCUACGCAUCAGGUGUCAUGUAUCGAUUGGACUAUACAUCAAAGUUAUAUGAACCAUUGAAAAAGGUACCCUCUUUUGAUCACUGACUCAGCAUCCAACAACAAUCCCAAUCUCAAGUGAGGUGAUGUUUAAUUUUGUAAUGGCAUAUACCUAGGGUGUCUUUGGUUGUUAGUUGUUUUGUGAAUGUGGUGUAAUUUGAGUUAUAAGUAUAUGUUUAUAUUUGAAGCUAAAUUUUAGUAUGUGUUUUGACCAAAGGCUUGAUAUGUGUAUGAAACUUAAAGCUUGAUGUCUUAAGUAGCUUUAUGUUAAGCUAAAUUGAGUGAUUUUGACAUACUUUAAACUUUGAUUUGGAUAAUGCAUUGUUGA